UGGCACAUAUACCAUGGAAGAAAAGGAAAAUCUCCCUUCCCAAAUAAAUCAGUUUUUUAAAGAAAUUCUUGAUGUAUUUUGAAAACAAGUAGGAUCCCUUUUCUCUAGCUUUUUAGGGAUCUACCAAGGAAAUCAUUACUGACUCGUAGAUUGGCUCAGGUCAUUGUCACCUUGAUACUAUUGAAGUAGCUUAUUUCCAAUUCAGGGAAAUCAUAAACAAUAAAUUCCCUAGGGAUACAUGGCUACCAUGAGGAUGAUUGGAUUCCACAAGCGAGUGGAAGAUGACGAUGAAGAUGCAUAUAUUGCACAAAAAAGUUUCUAAUUCUUAAGAUCAUUUUAGCUAGUUGCAAAUACACUAAUUAGAGAUUUAGGAGACCAAGAUUUUCUUUUGAGGUGCUAGUGCUUCCCUUUCGGGAUCCAAGGACUUGGUGCAACUGGAUGAAGAUAUGGCAAGUAAUAAUGCUGAAUAUUCGGGCUUGUUCUGCCUCUUUUAUAUCAACAUUUCACUACAAUGACCAAAUGUUCUACUGAGCAAAUUGUUUCUACUUAUUUGAAUGUUUUUUUGUAAAAAUAUUUCAUCAUAGAAGUCAACGUUCUUUUGCCGUAGAUUGGAGUUCAUUAUGUAUUUGGAUUAGAAAAAUGUAAAAUAGUGACAGAAAUUACAUGGAGUCUGAUUUGCUAUAAAAAAAAAUAUCGUUAUUUUUUUA